GCUGGGCAUGGUGGCACAUGCCUGAAAUCCCAGCAGCUUGGGAGGCUGAGACAGGAGGAUUGUGAGUUCAAGGUCAGCCUCAGCAAAUAAGUGAGGCCCUAAGCAACUGAACAGACUCUGUCUCUA
rnacentral:sRNA from 1 species